CAAGUAACACCUCGUAAUCUCUAUUCGUAUAGCAACGUUCGGGUGGCUAUAGUUUGUCGCAUGCAUGCACAUGUUUCCAUGUAUAUAAGGUAGGAGCGGAGAAGUGAUAAGAAACGUAUGUGUGACGUCACGAGUUUCUAGCAGGUAUAUGAGGGAAGCCAGAGGUACGUCCACGUCACUCGUACUUGUGAUCUUCGGUUUCUUUCACCACUUUUUCACUGCUCCGCCUGAAAUUUUUUUUUUUUUUCUUUAACAAAAAUCAAAAACCAAAGAAAACUAAACGAAAGAGAAAGAGAAAUUUAAAUAUUCGUCAUCACGCCAACGAUCAGAAAUACAAGAUAAUACAACUAUCUCAGAUCCUGUAGGAUAUUUCGGAACGUCGUAUAAAUUUCAAACGAAUACUAUUGCGUACGACCACCUGUUGAAUAUCUAGAUCAAUUUAUUGUGGAACUGUGGUCGUGCGGUGAAAAGCGGAAAACUAUGAGCUGGGAAAUUUGCGAAUCGAUCGAAUCUAUGUCGAGGAUCGUGGGAACAGGGACGGGUUGUGUGCAACACUUGCAUAGUAUUCGAAAGAAGAAAAAAAAUCGUUGACGGAACUCGAGGUGGGGUAAGAAAUUUUGUGUUUUACGAUACAAGUGUGUAUUGAAUCUACAAGGAGAUGCGUACUGUAAGAAAAUCUCCGCAUGAGUUAAGUAACCGCGAACGAACACGAGAGUUAUAUGUUUGACGUACAAUCAGGGGACGCUAAAAAGAGGGGGCGGGUAUCGCACCACCCUGAUAACAAGUUGAACUACUGAACGUGAACUGGUUUAUAGGAACGAAGACAUGAUGGAAGUUGAUCAGAACGCGGUCGACACGAAUAUUAUAUCAUAAUAUUCAUAUCGUUCCUUGGGCAGAAUAAUUUUUUAUCGUCCGAUUGUUCGACAUGUUAAUUAUGUGUAUAGUUUUGGAAGUGAUUCAUGUUUUAUUACCUUGUGUUUAAUAUUUUUUUAGUUUUCUUCUUCAUUGCAGAGAAAUUCUACUCGAUUCGAUGAGUGGAAAUAGAUGAAUACAUUUUUUAGAGAAGAAGAAAGAGACCUGAAAAUCUACAGAAAAGCGUGCGCUAUGAAGAGAGCUAUCCAUCGACAGUAUGGUAACAUUUGACACUGUCAUGGAGUUGCUCUCUUUGUGGACGCCGCCUGGUUCAGCAUUAAAAACAACAACAAGAAAUUAUACAAAAUUAAAAGUUGCCACGAAACAUGUCGUUUCAAAUCAACGCUACGCGGAGACCGGCAUCGAGUGUCUGACCAGUACGGGUCUCAUACCACUUCCAACGUACCUCAACUUUAUUAGACUCGUCCGCCCAAACUCGGACCCUUAUCACUGCGGCGGAUUUUUUCAUCGACAUGCGAGAAAUCUCCUGAUUAUUCUUCGAGAACAGAAAACUUUUUAAGUAUACCGUAAAUUAAUUAAUCAGUAACCAUAUUCAAAGUUGUAAUCAUAAAAAUGUGAGAGUCAAAUCUCUUUGGAAACGCAAAGAUUUAGGGCUCCUUCGACCGGGAAUCGAUAAAUUCAGGGCCCAAAUCCCGAUUGAAUUUUUUUUUAUAAUGUUUCUUUUUCCAGCAACUAUAAUAUUGCAAAUUUUACAGAGUUAUGCCCAUGCUUUGUUACUUCGCACGCUGUAUGUACAGUUUACGAUUGAAAUCGAAUAUACCGUCCAGAGCGAAAAGUGAAUAGGCAACAAGCUAGCGGGGGCAUUGAUCUUUCAUGCAUUGAUUGAACAGAAGGGGAGAGAAGCACGAGUGCAGGUUGAAGGAUAAGGAACGGCAUGCUGCUGCAGCGUUGCGCGAGUAAGGUAUAUGCGAUGUUAUUAUUUCCAGGUAGGUAUACACGUACGUCGAGUAAGAUGUGUAAUAUUAUGCACCACCAUAGAUAUGUUGAACUAUAUCUAUGGUACCAUGAACUCGAGUAAUCACAAAUGCUGCACAUAACGUUCCAUAAAAAUAGCAAAAGGCUUAGAAACUCAGACUUGGCGAACGAACCCUGCGCACAGCGAGAAGAGAUCUUGGAAUAUUUUGAUCUCGCGACCGUACUACGUAUUAUGUGGUUACAUUGAAAGCGUUCAUGAGUUAAUGCUGAGGCACGUUUCUCUCUAUACACAUAGCAUUUGUGAAAAAAUGUAUUGCGUAAGAGAAAGAAAAGUUUUCGCGCAUUGUGAUACAUGCAGACCUUAGAUUUGCACGGAUUUAAUUGCACAUACACACUAAAGAGGAAAACGACUUUGGCAGCCUUUGUCAACUUACGAAUCUGUCUGUUGGAUUGAACCGAUAAUCGUGACGUCCCAUUUUUUUAGCUUCGAAGAGCGACAAAAUGGCGAUAGCUCGAAGACAUUUCAAAAGAUAAAUCGAUUUAAUCAGCAGAUUCGGAUUCCUGAACGCGAUUAAUAAAUAAAAAUACAUCAUAAUACUGUCGAAAAAAAUGUUAAUGUAUUCUUACGUAUUUUGAUCGCAGAAACGUGAAUCCGUCGACUGAAUUAGGACACGCCUAAUAUACCGAUUGAGAUGCGUUAGAAAAACUAUGCGUAAGAAUUACGUAAUGAAUACAUACCAUAUAUAAGGUGAUAAGGGGGAUUAAUUGUUCUCCUGCAACUGUUCACUGUACAUAGACUUAAAAUUUCUUGUAAUGUUAAUUACGCAAGUCUUUCCUCGGGUUUCUAUAACAAACAUUGAAUAAAUAUGGUUAGUAUACCAAUUCCGAUUAAGGUGUGUUAUACAAUUUACAUAUUUGCAUUCGCUUAAUAACAAACGUUUAAUUUUCUUAUUGUAAAAAUUCUCUGCAUACUCUAUACCUAUAUAUAGAUGUAUAGAACGUUAAAUAGCUUGUUUAGGAAUUAAAACCAAAUUAUAUUAUCAACUGGUUGGCACGGGGCAACAAUAGGGGGAUACGUAUAAAGGAUAUAUAGGAGCUUUGCUUCUGGCACCAGACAGCAAAUAUACCUCCACACGAAUAUGUGGAAAGAUAUAUCAUCAGACUAAUGAUAGUCGCACGAUAGCUAGUUGAAGUAAUAAAAUGAAAAUGGCGUUACAAACACUAAAAAAUGACGGUAUAUAUUUCAACCAUAUAGAGUCGUAAAUAACUUAUAUUUUAAUCACCUGUACAUACCGAUAAUAACCAACACCUGAUUUUCGUGAGGUACGUUCUACGUUGUCUGGCUUAAUAAUUCUGCACGUUACUCCCACACCUGACGUCUGAGUUCUGUUGUCGCUCCUGCUGAGAACGACGUGCUGAGCUUCAAAUUUUUCCAUCUACAGCAUCAAAUAUACAUUAUUUUCUAUUUGACAUCAGCGAAUUUGCAUAAGAAUAAAAUUUGGGUCAAUUAAAUA